UACGGAGGAUCCAAGCGUUAUCCGGAUUUAUUGGGUUUAAAGGGUGCGUAGGCGGCUUAUUAAGUCAGGGGUGAAAGACGGUGGCUCAACCAUCGCAGUGCCUUUGAUACUGAUGAGCUUGAAUAUACUAGAGGUAGGCGGAAUGUGACAAGUAGCGGUGAAAUGCAUAGAUAUGUCACAGAACACCGAUUGCGAAGGCAGCUUACUAUGGUAUUAUUGACGCUGAGGCACGAAAGCGUGGGGAUCAAACAGGAUUAGAU
rnacentral:rRNA from 1 species